UGGGGAAUUGUUCACAAUGGGCGCAAGCCUGAUGACGCAACGCCGCGUGGGGGAGUGAAGGUCUUCGGAUCGUAAACCCCUGUCGAAUGGGACGAAAGACUCGCGAGUGAAUACUUCGCGAGAGUGACGGUACCGUUAAAGGAAGCCACGGCUAACUCUGUGCCAGCAGCCGCGGUAAUACAGAGGUGGCAAGCGUUGUUCGGAAUUACUGGGCGUAAAGGGCGCGUAGGCGGCCCUCUAAGUCAGACGUGAAAUCCCCCGGCUUAACCUGGGAACUGCGUCUGAUACUGGAGGGCUUGAGUAUGGGAGAGGGAUGUAGAAUUCCAGGUGUAGCGGUGAAAUGCGUAGAUAUCUGGAGGAAUACCGGUGGCGAAGGCGGCAUCCUGGACCAUUACUGACGCUGAGGCGCGAAAGCUAGGGGAGCAAACGGGNUUAGAUACCCUAGUAGUCCCUGAGCGGGCUGGCAAGGCGCAU
rnacentral:rRNA from 1 species